CAUGUCUCUUUAGUAGAGGAAGCCUUAAGAUAGAGGUUAAUCAGCCAAGUAACAGUUAAGGAAGAAUGCUACAGGAGCAGGUAGGGAAAACUUUGAGGUAGAGCUAAUGAGGGAACAGCUAUUAGUUUGAAGAUAUUUGGAUUCUCAUAUGCACUGGUUUGUCCUAUCCUGGAAGGGGUUUAGAUGUUUGUGAUCUGACCAGAGGGCUGAGCUAUAGGAGAUGAAGACUCAGAAAGAUGUAUUGUAAGCCCUGAGGGACAACCCAAUAGGGAGGUGCCAGAAAUGAAGAUCCCUAUAAUGAUGCCCUCAGAUGGGAGAGGGUACACUACAGGUACCGUUUUACAUCCUGUGUUCUGGAAGAGUCCGACUUUGAGCACUGAAAGUAGAGAUGACUUUUGUCAGUGGGAGCAGGAUUGAGACCCAAAUAUUAAGCUUGUACCCCAAAUCCUGUGAGCAACUCUGUUUUCUUGGUAUUUCUAGCUCAGUCAGCAGCAGGAAGAACCCCAAACUUCUCAGGAUGGUAGAGAGCUAGAUGGAAAACUUCAAAGUUUUGAUGCAGAAUGGAAACAAGAUUUUCUUGAUAUUUUUGAUGUCAAAUCCUCUCCCUCUUUCAACGAGCUUUCCCACACAAACCUAUUCUUGGAAGAUUUCCAGUACAAUACUGCACACUCAAGUGUUUUAGAGAAUCUAAACUUUAGAUACUUCAGUUGCAGGAAUACAAUACAAUUGAGCUCAAUGCAGGAGAAACUGGAUGAAAUUCUAUGCCCUGUGAUAUGCAGGACAUCACACUAAAAGAUCUUCUGGUGUUAAAGUCUAUGAAGAAGCAGCCAAAUUUGUAGUCAAACCUACAGAUAGUUUCAAAAUUUGCUCAUAAUUAGCUCUGAAGCCCUUAAAAAUAAGGCUUAGCCCAGCAUUACUGACAGACUUGUAAGUACAUCAGCAUUGUUAGGCUUAGCUAUAAAUUCAUCACAGCGAGAACAGUCUCCAUAUAAUACAUUAUUUAAUGUCAUCAGUUAAUUUAUCUGUUUACUGAGUCCAAAGAGCCUGACUAAUGUAGUGAAAUAUAUUUCACUAGUUGACCAUAGUUCUGUGUAUCUAAAAAUAAAGCUUAAUGGGUUUUGCUGAUAGAUGGUCUUGGACUUCAUUAUAAUGAUUGCCGUGGAGCUACAGUAGCAUUCUCCUUCUGAUAGUAAAAAGUUUACUGAGCUCAAAAUUACU